rnacentral:rRNA from 1 species
GUAGGGCGGGACACGUGGUAUCCUGUCUGAAUAUGGGGGGACCAUCCUCCAAGGCUAAAUACUCCUGACUGACCGAUAGUGAACCAGUACCGUGAGGGAAAGGCGAAAAGAACCCCGGCGAGGGGAGUGAAAAAGAACCUGAAACCGUGUACGUACAAGCAGUGGGAGCACAGAGCAAUCUGUGUGACUGCGUACCUUUUGUAUAAUGGGUCAGCGACUUAUAUUCUGUAGCAAGGUUAACCGAAUAGGGGAGCCGAAGGGAAACCGAGUCUUAACUGGGCGUUAAGUUGCAGGGUAUAGACCCGAAACCCGGUGAUCUAGCCAUGGGCAGGUUGAAGGUUGGGUAACACUAACUGGAGGACCGAACCGACUAAUGUUGAAAAAUUAGCGGAUGACUUGUGGCUGGGGGUGAAAGGCCAAUCAAACCGGGAGAUAGCUGGUUCUCCCCGAAAGCUAUUUAGGUAGCGCCUCGUGAAUUCAUCUCCGGGGGUAGAGCACUGUUUCGGCAAGGGGGUCAUCCCGACUUACCAACCCGAUGCAAACUGCGAAUACCGGAGAAUGUUAUCACGGGAGACACACGGCGGGUGCUAACGUCCGUCGUGAAGAGGGAAACAACCCAGACCGCCAGCUAAGGUCCCAAAGUCAUGGUUAAGUGGGAAACGAUGUGGGAAGGCCCAGACAGCCAGGAUGUUGGCUUAGAAGCAGCCAUCAUUUAAAGAAAGCGUAAUAGCUCACUGGUCGAGUCGGCCUGCGCGGAAGAUGUAACGGGGCUAAACC